rnacentral:rRNA from 1 species
AUUGAACGCUGGCGGCAGGCCUAACACAUGAAAGUCGAACGAGUGGCGGACGGGUGAGUAAUGUCUGGGAAACUGCAUGAUGGAGGGGGAUAACUACUGGAAACGGUAGCUAAUACCGCAUACCAUCAGAUGUGCCCAGAUGGGAUUAGCGAGUUGGUGGGGUAACGGCUCAACAAGGCGAAGAUCCCUAGCGGGGCUGAGAGGAUGACCAGCCACACUGGAACUGAGACACUGUCCCGACUCCCACGAGAGGCAGCAGGCGGGAAUAUUGCACAAUGGGCGCAAGACUGAUGCUGCCAUGCCGCGUGUAUGAAGAAGGCCUUCGGGUUGUAAAGUACUUUCAGCGGGGAGGCGUUACCCGCAGAAGAAGCACCGGCUAACUCCGUGCCAGCAGCCGCGGUAAUAC